ACCAGGCAGUCUCCUUACAUUUUGCUUACUGUGUAAGCAUCACAGAUACCUAGAAGUUGUUUCAAACAUGCCAUAAUGGUUUUCUCCUAUGAAAUGAAAGCUGACUUGGGGGGGGGGGGUGAAAUUACCAAUGCAGCAGCAGCAGAAUCAAUCCGGUGCUUCUCAUUUGCGUGGGGGUCUUACACCUGAGACGGAGCUGGGAUAAUUUGUCUGGAAGGAAAAAGAAGGUUGAUCAGUGGAAUACGCUGGGAUUUAAAUCUAGGUCAUUACUCAGCCCUUAGUCAGAAAACAAAACAAAACGGUAACUUUCAACAGUGCUGCAGUUACCAUAAUGUGUGCUAGAGCUUACAAGUCCUAAAUCCAGGUGUUGCUUAUAUGGUAUUUCUCCAGAAAGCAGGGUAGGAAACUCAAAGCUGAAAUUUUCAGAAGGGUUUGGCUGCCAAAAUCAGUCAAGCUAAGGUGAAUUAUUAAUACAGAAGAAAUUCUAUUAUAUCUAGGUGAUGAAACGGGGGUGAAUUCCAAAGGCGCAGACUUAAUAGCAUUGCACUCAAGGUCAGUGGUUAAUGACUGUAAAUCUGGAGUGGCUUGAUUAGUAAUUUCUUACUUCAAAUACUCAUCAUGCAUAAUGGAAUUGGGGUCUAAUGCCGUCAAUUGUUGGAGAUCUGGAACUAGGGUGAGAUGUUCACAUUUCAGAGAAUUAAAAUUUGCUGACUGAAUCCUCCUUAAAAUAGCUAAAUAAAAAGUUAUUUUAAGAAGCUCCAGCCCCACUCCCCAGUUCCUGUGGCUGCAGUUAUUUUGCUUGACUUCACAUACACACACGCCUUUUUGUGUGUGGUUUAAAAUAUUAAACCUAGAUUAUUCAGUCUGCUUGGACAGAUUUCACUAUGGAGGAUAUCUGCAUAGCCUUCUGAUACAAGAGGCGACACACAUUCUCUUCUAAUCAAUAAAUGUGAUUUAGCUUAGCUGUGUAGUUGCAUGCAUGGCUAGAUCUGUUUUAUAUAAAGGCAACAGUUUUGCUGCCUCCCAAUCCAGUCCUGAUAACAUUAGGGACGCUUUCACAGUGUUUGUGUGCAGAAUUUUCUAUUUCUAGUCACCUAGCUUGUGUGUUUUUUUAAUGUUUCAUUUCCUCAAAUGCAAACUAUAUGUAAGAUGAUAUGUAAGGGCCACUGAUUUAUCCAUUCUGAUAUCUGCCUAAGUCAAAGAAACUGGAAAAUUGAGGAUAGGUUAACAAGAAGGGAGCAAUGUUUUAUUUAUUAUUAAAUUUCUAUCCUGCCUUUCCUCUCAAAGGCGAACAGAGCAGCCAUACACAGUUAAAAACAUUGAACAUUUUAAAACUUUUGAAAAUACAUCUAAGCACAGCAAGUAAGUUCUAAGAUGCCCAAACCCAUCACAUCUGAGCACCAAAUACCUGGAUGAACAGGAAUGUCUUUAGAUUUAGACUGAGACUAUGUACACAUCAUACAUUUAAAUCACAUCUCUCCCAGCCCUGCGGAGCUGUGGUUUAUGCCUCACAGAGAAGAACCCUUAACAAAAUACAGUUUCCAGGAUUCUUGGUAGGGAAUGCUUUAAAUGUAUAGUGUGUAUGUAUGUGGGGAGAAUGCAUGUUGCCAAACGGGGAGUCCCAUAAUUGGGGCAUAACCAUGGAGAAAUAUAGGCAAUUUCUACUCUGCUCUCUAGCCCUUAAAGUGGCUUUCAGAUUAAAAUCACAAUAUAAGAAUAAGAACAAUGAGAUUAAAAAUAAAUGCUUCACUUGAUUACUGAAACACAGGUGAAUUAAAAAAGUCAUCCACCUUGAGAGAGGGGAAUUGAACCUCUUUUAGGAGUAAAUUCUGCAAUCUUGGUGCUGCGACCAAGAAGGACUGCUCUUGUGUCUCUGCCAAGCACGUUUCUGAAUGUAGUGGAACACAGAACAUUACUUCAGAUGCAUUGCCUGGGCAAGUUCACUCUGAAUUGUGCCCAGAAAUAAACUGGAAGCCAGCACAAAUGAAAAAAAGUGAUAUACCAGGAACCACUUGGAUUGCUGCUUUUUGCAGGAUCUGAAGACUCCAAACAAUCUUCAAAUGUAGACCCACAUACAGUAGUCCAAUCUGGAUGUGACCAGAGCAUAAGUGACAAUGAUCAAAUCUGCAAGACUGGGGAAAGGAGCUGAUAAACAUCUCCAGGACAUCCACCAGGACUUCCAGGAGCAAACACAAGGUCCAGGCAUAAGCCAUCCAGCACAAACCAUAGCUCCAAACCUGGUGCCUUGUUACUUAUCUUUAGAUUCCAGGCAAAAACAUUCCACUUCUCCCAGGCCUUUGGCUAAUUAAACAAUCUAUGGGCUUUUAAACGGGGUGUGUGUGUGUGGUGGGUGUUCUUUUGGUUUGUUGCCUUGCUAUGUGGUUAUGUAUGUUUAUAUUAUAAAUCACCCUGUGAUCCUCAGAUGAAGGGCGGUAUAGAAAUUUAAUAAAUAAAAUUAAAAUAAUAAUUGUAUUUUUUUGUGAAGAAUUGCAUUGACCACCACUUCUGAAGAGUAAAACAGUGCUUAAGAGAGGGUCUCUCCAUUUACUGAAAUUCAUUGCUGGACUCUAACACAAAGAUGGGAAAAUAUAAACUCCAGCAUAGAUUAGUACUUUGACAAAACCUGCCCUCUAGUUUCUUGGAACUUUUCUUGCUCCACAAAAGAGACUUAUUCUGCUUCAUUCCUGGCACUUCUAAAUCUAUUCCAAAUUUCAGUGCGUGCAGGAUUUUGAGUUUCACAUAUUAGUUUAUGCUACGUGUGCAUAUUGUUGGCUACAUUCAAGUAAGAAUUUCCAAAACAACCACCAUUCAUUCAUACUAAUAAACUGAAAUGAGAUGCUAAAAUGUUUCUAUUUUACUUUAUAUGGAAAGUGUUGGGUGAUUUUCCCUCUCCCUCCCCAUUCCCUGCAAGCUAAAGUAGUUCAAGAUCCUGUUUGCAGUUUUUAAAUCACUGAAGUCAAUAAACUUUUGCCUGCUGUUCACAAUAAAUAGGCUUGCCCAUACACUGAGUUCUGUAAUGAAUCAUUGCUUACAGUACUAAAUGGUUCUGUCAAAGAAGUAUGCCCAUCAUUGCUGAUACUGUAAGGAAUCUUGAGCAACAAAAGCUUGUGCUGUGCAGCUAAUGGAAAUUAUUCAUAAGUGUCCCCUGUUGAUCAGAUGUUUGGAAGUGUAGGACUUCUUGUUUAGUCUCUCUGCCACUGUGAAAUCCAGAUGGCUAUACUCUCUGCAGCAUCGCUUUAGCUAUGAAGUUGCAGCUGUCCAUGAAUGUGUAGCAAUAUAAAUGUUUUAGUGAUGAGCUGAUUGCUGUGAAUUCACUCUUGGUAACUCCAAAUGUCCUAAAACUCUGUCAGAAUGCAUUUUAUUUUGGAGAAUAAAUAUGUUGCUGCACUAUUUGCUGGCUGGUAAUAGUGCCCUUAGAAUUUGUGAUUGUUGCCAGUCUCCCAAGAUGGGGAGAAAUGGAAAGGAAAGCAAAACACAGUAGUAAGUGGACAGCACAAGCAAGGGUAUAAAAGAAGUUGUCAUCGGUAGGAGAUCCGGGGUGUGUGUGUCUGUGUGCAUUACAUACAGUGGUACCUUGGUUUUCAAACUUAAUUCGUUCCGGGAGUCCAUUCGACUCCCGAAACUGUUUGAAAACCAAGGUGCGGCUUUCAAUUGGCUGUUGAAGCUUCCUGCACUCAAGUGGAAGCCACGUUGGACGUUCGGCUUCUGAAAAACAUUCACAAACCGGAACACUUACUUCUGGGUUUGCAGCGUUUGGGAGUCGAUUUGUUAGGGAGCCAAGCAGUGGCGAAGCUGUAUGCUCCGCUACUGGGGGCGGAGAGCAGGUGGAGGCGUAGCGUGCACCCCGGGGGCGUGUGGCACCUGGCGCUUGGGGGGGCACGGCGCAUGUCCAGGGAGGGGGCGCCGCAAUGGCAUCCUACUGGAAUAGUGGUGCUGGGGGCGGUCUGCUCCCUCUGCACUCCUGUUCCUCCGCCAGUGGAGGUACCACUAUAUUUGUUCGGGUCAAAUAAUGACAAAGGGCACUCUAAGAUCUUUGCUCAACUCAGGAGAAAAGGCAUUUGCAGAGAUUCAAGCAAAUGCUUAGUUUUAUAAGGCUGCACUGCUGAGGGAGCAUCAAAAGAGAACAGUCAUAACUAUCA